UUGAUCUUAAAAACCUAUUAUCAAUAUCAGUAGAGGUGUUCAUGGAUGAUUUUUCCAUGUAUGGCUCUUCCGUCUCCUCCUGUUUGUUGAACUUGUGCAGGAUACUCAAAAGAUGUGAGGUGUUUGUUUGUUACAUUUGAGAUUUCAGACUUGCUUAGAUCAAGUUCUUUUUCAAUUUUCAAUUCGGUUGCUAACUGUGUGUUUUUCUUGUUGUAUUCUUGAUCCAGGUACACCUCAGUUGUAUGCAAACUCGAUCAACAGGCAAUCAGAACCUCCUUUUCAAUGCCAACAUCGACCGCAUAGCUCGCGAACUCAGAGAAAGGAGAAAAACAGUCAACCUUGAACCACAGCAACCACUCGAAAUGGGUGACGAACAGUAUCAACAAAAUGGCCUGCCAACAUUGGUGCUGGAGAUGCACCACGUGAUCACCGUCAGCGAAUAGGAAUUGCACCUCCUGCUAUCCAGAACAACAACUUCGAGAUUAAGAGUGGUCUCAUCUCGAUGAUUCAGGGGAACAAAUUCCAUGGUCUGCCUAUGGAGGAUCCAAUCGACCACCUUGAUGAAUUCGAUAGGCUCUGCAACCUAACAAAGAUCAAUGGUGUCAGUGAAGACGGAUUCAAGCUCCGUUUGUUUCCAUUCUCCUUGGGCGACAAAGCACACAUCUGGGAGAAGAAUCUGCCACAUGACUCAAUCACCACCUGGGAUGAUUGCAAGAAGGCUUUUUUAUCAAAGUUCUUCUGGAACGCCAGAACUGCAAGACUCAGAAAUGAGAUCUCUGGCUUUUUACAGAAGGCUGGUGAAAGCUUCUGUGAAGCAUGUGAGCGUUUCAAGGGUUAUACCAACCAAUGCCCUCAUCAUGGCUUCACUAAAGCCUCUCUGCUCAGCACUCUUUACAGAGGAGAGGAGUUCUACCACGCAUCAGAAUGCUUCUGGACACCGCCAGCAAUGGGAAUUUCAAAAACAAGGAUGUUGAAGAAGGCUGGGAAUUGGUUGAGAACCUUGCUCAAUCAGAUGGUAAUUACAACGAGGACUGCGAUAGGACCGUUAGAAACACAACUGACUCUGAUGACAAACAUAGGAAGGAGAUCAUAGCUUUGAAUGACAAUCUGGACAUGAUUCUUCUUAGCCAGCAGAAGCAUGUGCACUUCCUUGUUGAUGACGAGCAGUAUCAAGUCCAAGAUGGGGAGGGUAACUAGUUAGAAGAAGUCAGCUACAUCAACAAUAACCAGGGUGGCUACAAAGGAUAUAACAACUUCAAAACCAACAACCCCAACCUCUCCUACCGCAGCACCAACGUUGCUAAUCCACAAGAUCAAGUGUAUCCUCCACAGCAACAACAAGGUCAGAACAAACCUUUUGUUCCUUACAAUA
rnacentral:sRNA from 1 species